CGAUGGACAACCAGUUAAUAUUCUGGUACCUGCUUUGCGUUAAAAGUGACGGAGGCGAGAAUUAGGUGCGCACUGACGGAAUAGUGCGUUGAAGGAUGUGGUAACACUCCGAUAGUACACCAAAGCUACGGCGGCGGUGAUAAUCCUGAAUAUCGACUUCCAAGAAAAGCGAGCAAAAGCAGCCCGUACCGCAAACCGACACAGGUAGUUGGGAUGAGAAUUCUAAGGUGCUCGAGAGAUUCAUGGCUAAGGAAC
rnacentral:rRNA from 1 species